rnacentral:rRNA from 1 species
UACCAGCACCCCGAGUGGUCGGGACGUUUAUUGGGCGUAAAGAGCGUGUAGGCGGCCACACAGGUCUGCUGUGAAAACUCGAGGCUCAACCUCGAGCUGUCGGUGGAAACCGUGUGGCUAGAGUCCGGAAGAGGAGAGUGGAAUUCCCGGUGUAGCGGUGAAAUGCGUAGAUAUCUGGAGGAACACCGGUGGCGAAGGCGGCUCACUGGCUCGUAACUGACGCUCAUGCACGACAGCGUGGGGAUCAAACAGG